CUUAGCAGAGAAUAUCAUCAACAUCAGCAGAACAGCCGGCAAAGCAGACAAAAACAUCAGAAUAUUUUGCCUUUCUUUGCCAAAAAACAGAGCCUCAUUACUUACACAUUUAACGCUGCCUAAAUUUCUCACUUAAUGAUUAAGUUACUGGGGUAAAAAUCACUACAUUUGAUGCUAUUUGAAGCACCAAGGUACAGCUGUAACUUUUACUCAUGCUGAUAAAGCUGUCCUUCAUCAUGACUGGUUUCAGGAUUGUUUCUUGCACUGGACAAUCAGUCACUCCCAGGGAUUCGGUGUUGUAACUGCUGGUUCUCCCUGUGUUUUUCAUGUCUUGUGCUUUAUGUUUUCAGGUUGUCUGUCCGCCCAUCUCAGAGACACCUGGAGGAAAUACCUUCAAAUUUGGCACAAACAUCCACUUGGACUUGAGGGUGAACUAAUUAGGUUUUGGUCAACAAAGGAGCUGACAGUCGUCUACAGCGGAGAGCCUUUCUUCUGCUGCCUCUUCUCUGUCUGCAGGAGCACACCCAGGAGACAGAUGCACACUGUAUAAUAAAUGUCUGAGUGCUUAAUACACUGAUGGCAGCAAGCCACCACACAAGGCGCUGGUCUGACCAUUAGCGGUGAACUGGGGGUUUCCUGUCCUGCCCUCAGACAUGGCAUGGGCAAGCUCAGAAUGAACCACCAACCCUCCGUUUAUUGGAUGACCUGCCUUAAUUUCCCCAUUGUGGGAUCAAUAAAGUCUUACCUUAACUCCUGAGCCACAGCCGCCCUCAGUGACGAUGAUAACACCGGACUCAGUGAGAACAAGUCCCUGCUCACAGAGAAGCGAUGGUAAGUGGCAGGAGACAAACUGUGGACUCAGAGGAGUGCGCUCACUGUUCACCUCAAGGGAACCCAGCCUGAAUGACACAUGACCACAGCGAUGACAGCCACAGGAAGGUCAGAUGUUCAUCCACAUAAAAAUAAACUACUGUCAGAUUAAACUGUUGCGCUCACCACUGUUACAUAACAGCUAGCAACAACAGCCCUUGUCCUGCAGACACUGAUGAAUGGCAUAAUUACAGAGGAUGAACUGGAUAAAAGUCCUCAUCUCAUGAUUAAUUGAAAAUGUAUUCUCUGCUCCACCCUUCCAGCAAAGUUACUGUCCAACCUCUAAAGACAUACUUUAGUUUAGUUGUACGUAGCCACAUCAGUGCACUAGAUGAAAAGUCAGUUCAUCAUCUGGGAGCCAUGAAAAUCUAUAUAAUUUUAUGCCAAUCCAUCUAAUUGAUGUUGAGAUAUUUCACUGGAUAAUUGGAGAAACUUUGACCUGCUGACUUGAUUAACUUCCUUCAAGUCUUCACUAUAGAUAUGAAUUGGUCCAACUUGACUGGUUGGCGGAGGCUUACAACCACCAGGAAGCAAUUCUAGUUUAAACUUUUAUUGAUGGAGAUUUUAGGACUUAAUACGUAAAGGGACUUGCAUUGCAGAUUUGUGUGUAUGAGAUUAAAGGAGGGUUCUCAUUUCAGCCUCAUAAGAUCUAAUCACUUGCCCCAGUCAAUGCAUGUGAGAGGAGUGUGGGUCAGAGUUAGCAAGUGUCGAAGCCUAGCGCGUGAUCUAGACCUGUUAUCUCUGUGUUAUACUGACUCAACUGAUAGAAAACCUUCAUGUACUGAUGUGGGUCAGUGUGAUGUCUGUGUGUGUUGAGACCAGGGGAACCUCACUGUGUGAAUGAGCAGGGUGGCACUGACUGUGCAAACCGCAGCUCCUCCGGCUCACCAUUUGUGAUAAUGAAAUUUUCCGGGAGCAGACUUUGUCUCUCUGACACAUUGAGGGGAAGCUGUGAAAAGCCCAUCUUCCCUGUGAGGAUGUCUGAGGAGAGAAAAGCAGCAGAAACAAAUGUGUUUCAUCAGGGAAAAGACAGCCUGGACAGCCUAUUCAAAACAAUUCCAUUUGCCAGAGGUUUCCAUUAUCACAUCUAUAAUGGAGGACAUUGGGAGGGGAGGGAAGAUCACAAUAUAAAUUUCUUCUAAAGCAAAACUACAGGAAGCGGUAGACAUAUUCUGCAAAAAUAUUGACCUUUACCAGGAGAGCAGAGGCAGUUUUGGUCACCAAUUUUUAGUUUCAUACUUUCCCUGAUUGUAAUUAGAGUUUGUGUUCAGUGUCAGGACAGGUAUCUCCUCUCACAACAUGAUUUACAUCUGUCCAUGGAUACACCUUAAUGUAGGUUCUUUAGAUUCUGUA